GUCAGAAAUGGGCGUCGCCGGAGACGCAGCCAAUGGCUAUGUCAGAAAUGGGCGUCGCCAGAGACGCAGCCAAUGGCUAUGUCAGAAAUGGGCGUCGCCGGAGACGCAGCCAAUGGCUACUUCAGAAACUACAUCACCGGAGACGCAGCCAAUGGCUACAUCAGAAACUACAUCACCGGAGACGCAGCCAAUGGCUACAUCAGAAACUACAUCACCGGAGACGCAGCCAAUGGCUGUGUCAGAAACGGCACCCUAUUCCCUAUAUAGUGAACUCCUUUUGACCAGAGCCCUACAGGGCCCUUCGUAGGGAAUAGGAUGGCAUUUUGAACGUAGACAUUAUGUAUAUUAGGUAAGUACGUACGCAGGUCGCUUUUGGGUCCAAAUUUUGUUGUUUUUUUGGGGGGGCCUGAACAACCAAACUACGGAAAGCUGGAAGGCACAUAUCUGAGGAAGCAUGAGACCUUCAGAUGAAGGGAAGUGUCCCCAACAGCACCCUAAUUCCCUUACGGUGCACUACCGUUUGACCAGAGCCCUUUUGACCACUAUAUAUUUAGUGCACUAGCGCACGAGUGACCUUUUCCAACACCAAAUAGGGAAUGGGGUGCCAUUUUGGAACGUAACCCGGGCAACAGGAAGAAGAGAGACAGUAGAGGGAGGGUGAGGCAGUGAAACAGGAAGAAGGAGAGAGACAGUAGAGGGAGGGUAAGGCAGUGAAACAGGAAGGAGAGAGACAGUAGAGGGAGGGUAAGGCAGUGAAACAGGAAGAAGGGAGACAGUAGAGGGAGGGUUCGAGGCAGUGAAACAGGAAGUGUUAAGGCCAACUGAUCAUCUAAAAACAGGAUGCCCAAACUGUUAUAAGACAUACAACCUGACCAAUAAAAACAGAGUAUUCAAUAUCAACAUGACCAAUCGGUAAUCUUCUGUUGUCAUAUUCCAGCCCACUAAUAUAGAUAUCUGUCACCAAGGUUAGAGAAUUAUAUUAAAACAAGGCAUGUUAUUGACCCCAAGGUUAGAGAAUUAUAUUAAAACAAGGCUUGUUAUUGACCCCAAGGUUAGAGAGAAUUAUAUUAAAACAAGGCUUGUUAUUGACCCCAAGGUUAGAGAGAAUUAUAUUAAAACAAGGCUUGUUAUUGACCCCAAGGUUAGAGAAUUACAUUAAAACAAGGCUUGUUAUUGACCCCAAGGAUAGAGAAUUACAUUAAAACAAGGCUUGUUAUUGACCCCAAGGUUAGAGAAUUACAUUAAAACAAGGCUUGUUAUUGACCCCAAGGUUAGAGAAUUAUAUUAAAACAAGGCUUGUUAUUGACCCCAAGGUUAGAGAGAAUUACAUUAAAACAAGGCUUGUUAUUGACCCCAAGGUUAGAGAGAAUGACAUUAAAACAAGGCUUGUUAUUGACCCCAAGGUUAGAGAGAAUGACAUUAAAACAAGGCUUGUUAUUGACCCCAAGGUUAGAGAGAAUUAUAUUAAAACAAGGCUUGUUAUUGACCCCAAGGUUAGAGAAUUACAUUAAAACAAGGCUUGUUAUUGACCAAGGUUAGAGAGAAUGACAUUAAAACAAGGCUUGUUAUUGACCCCAAGGUUAGAGAGAAUGACAUUAAAACAAGGCUUGUUAUUGACCCCAAGGUUAGAGAGAAUGACAUUAAAACAAGGCUUGUUAUUGACCCCAAGGUUAGAGAGAAUGACAUUAAAACAAGGCUUGUUAUUGACCCCAAGGUUAGAGAGAAUGACAUUAAAACAAGGCUUGUUAUUGACCCCAAGGUUAGAGAGAAUGACAUUAAAACAAGGCUUGUUAUUGACCAAGGUUAGAGAGAAUGACAUUAAAACAAGGCUUGUUAUUGACCAAGGUUAGAGAGAAUGACAUUAAAACAAGGCUUGUUAUUGACCCCAAGGUUAGAGAGAAUGACAUUAAAACAAGGCUUGUUAUUGACCCCAAGGUUAGAGAGAAUGACAUUAAAACAAGGCUUGUUAUUGACCCCAAGGUUAGAGAGAAUGACAUUAAAACAAGGCUUGUUAUUGACCCCAAGGAUAGAGAGAAUUAUAUUAAAACAAGGCUUGUUGUCAUCCUUCAUCUUCCUCCAUUAGACAUUGUAGUUAUUAUUAUUAUUAUUAUUAUAAACACAAUAUAUACAUGUAUGUUACAGGAAUAUACAGGGUGUUAAUGCUCCUCAUGUCUCAAUAUAAAUCAGUAUGUUCAAGCAUUCAGGGAGUCGGCGGCUUUGGCUUGCGGAGGGGUUUCAUUACCUAAAACAGGGUGAAAAGUCAAAAAACAGGAACAGGAAAUACAUCACCAUAGAACUAAAGGC